GUGCUCGCUUUAGCAGCACAUAUCCUAAAGCUGAUAUGAUGCUGAGAAGAUCAGUGUGGCCCCUUUGCAAGGAUGCCAUGCAACUUCCUGAAGCAUUCCAUAUUUUU
ensembl:snRNA U6 U6 spliceosomal RNA